GCCUGGGUGGCAUAGUUGGUUACGUGUCUGACUCUGGCUCAGGUCGUGAUCUCGCGGUUCGUGGGUUCGAGCCCCACCUUGGGCU